AUCACCUGGCCUCUUCCCAGACCAAUUAUAUCAGGCUUCCUGGGGAUGGGUGAUGCAGACGGCCGCAGCUUUUAGAGCUCCCCAGGUGAUUCCAAGCGCAGCCAGCUAGCCGGUAUCAGAGCCCCCGGAGGGCUUGUUAAAGCAGACUGCCACCCCACCCCCGAGUGCCUGGUCUCCUAGGUCUGGGAUAGGGCUCCGGAAUCCACAUUUCCAACAAGCUGCUAGAUGAUGCUGGCACUGCUGGUUCUUGGACCACACCUUGACAUCCACUGCCCAGGGUGGUUAGAUCGUCAGGAGAUGUGCGGAAGGGAGCGAUGAGAUUGGCUGACAUUUGUGAAGGAGCCGAGCUGUGGUGCGGCCUCGUCGGAGAGAGCAGGAAUCAUCUCUACUGUCUCGGCUGAUCCCCGGAAAGUCAAUCAAGAGGAGCCGCCUGGAUUAGGGCCCCUUGGACAGCAAGGGGAAUAACCUCCAGGGUUCCCCACCUCCGUCCCUGGCCCUGGCCUCCGUACCUGCAUUUUCUUAGGAGUAGAGAGUUUCUUUUAUGAUUUUAUUCCACUUCCCCUCGCUCCCAAGCUCCCCCAGUGGAGAGAGGAAUAGGGAACCCAGAGACAGAGAUGUUUUCUGUAGGGUUUUCCGUUGCUGAGUUCAUCUAUUCAUUCAACAAUCAUUUCAUUCAACAAAUCUACAUGGCAGCUCAGGCGGGCAGGGAAUUUUGUCUGUUUUGUUCAAUGCUGUACGCCCAGUGUCUGGCACACAGUCAGUGCUCAAUAAAUAUUUGUUCAGUGAGGGAGGGCCAACUUUGGGCUAGUCCCUCCACCGGGUGAGGAAGACACAGCCCCUGCCCUCAAGCACCCAGAGCAUUGUGCUGGGGGACAAAGUUGCUUAGCCAGGGACCACAGCCCGUGUGACAGGUGAGGCAACAGCCCAGGGUCUGGGAGCGUUUGGCAGAGGCCCCAUCCCUCUAGGGGAGUGAGGCUUUGGGGGGCCAGGAAGGGGCUCCCAGGGGAGGUAUGUGUCAGCUGAAGCCUGAAAGAUAAGCAGGCCAGGAGUAGAAGCACAGGUGAAGGGAGCUGACUGUCUCUUAUAUGCUGCUGGGGCAGGGGGUGGGGGCGUGGGGGGGUA
rnacentral:lncRNA from 1 species